UGUAGAUGUGAUAGAGGGUGGGAUCAGUCGCAUGUCGAUAGCUUUCAUUUGUGGACGCAGUCAGUUAACAGAUGAGCACUAAUCGGGAUUACCCAAAACACAUCAUAAACAAAAAUCUACAACAUAAGCAAGAGAAGAGAGACAGCACAAAAAGAAGAAAUAAGACUCACUGCUUGACAUGGAUUGUCCAGACAUCUGCAGUACAAUACUUUUAAAAAGGACAUCAGAGUGAUACUUUUUUUUUAUUCACUUAGAUGAUUUAAAUCUAACGCAUUAGAUAUCUCAGCAUUUUUAAAGAUUCGUGCCGAUUAGGAAUCGGUUCUGAAACGGAUCACUUUUUCAUCCUUUUGAACUUUUUUGACAAAACCAAACAAAAGUGGAAUGUGAUCGCACGUAUUUGGAUGUAUAUCGGAUUUAUAAAGGGCGCCGGGAGGCAAAGAGUGAAUUAGACACAGAGCAUCUGAAUCCAGCAUCUGGACGAUAUUAUAAAAGUAAAAAUGGGGAAUAUUGAGAGUGUGGACGGGCAGUCUGAAAUGAAGCAUCAUAUCAUGCCCUUAAAAGUUCCCAUGCCUGACCAAACAGAGCUGGAAGAAAGAUUUGCCAUUGUUUUGAACUCUAUGAACCUGCCCCCGGAUAAAGCACGUCUCCUCCGGCAGUACGAUAACGAGAAGAAGUGGGACCUCAUUUGUGACCAGGAGCGUUUCCAAGUGAAGAAUCCUCCACAUACAUACAUCCAGAAACUACGUGGAUAUUUAGAUCCAAGAGUCACACGCAAGAAAUUCCGCAGAAGGGUUCAGGAAUCCACCAAAGUCCUGCGGGAGCUGGAGAUAUCGCUGCGAACCAAUCACAUAGGGUGGGUUCGUGAGUUCCUCAACGAUGAGAACAGAGGCCUGGACAUCCUGGUGGAGUAUCUCUCCUUCGCCCAGUGUGCUGUCAUGUUGGAUUUUGAAGGGCUGGAGAAUGGUGAGGACUUUUCGCUGGACAAGGCUAAGUCCUGGAGCAGGUCCAUUGAGGAUCUGCACCAGAAUGGCUGCAAUACGCUGGUGCGCUCUGCGCGGCAAUCCGUCCUCCGUUAUGGCUCAGCUGCCAACAGCAAAACUAUCAAGAACUCCAGAUUAGUCAGUCAAAAGGAUGACGUACACGUGUGCAUCAUGUGCCUCAGAGCAAUCAUGAACUAUCAGUAUGGCUUCAACCUUGUCAUGUCUCACGCACAUGCAGUCAAUGAGAUCGCCCUAAGUUUGAACAAUAAGAAUCCAAGAACAAAGGCGCUGGUCCUGGAGCUGCUGGCUGCUGUGUGUUUGGUGCGAGGAGGCCAUGAAAUCAUCCUCUCAGCGUUUGAUAACUUCAAAGAGGUAUGUAAAGAGAAGCACCGCUUUGAGAAGCUGAUGGAGUAUUUCCGUAGUGAAGAUGGGAACAUCGACUUCAUGGUGGCAUGUAUGCAGUUCAUCAACAUUGUGGUCCAUUCGGUGGAAGACAUGAACUUCCGCGUACAUCUGCAGUAUGAGUUCACUAAACUGGGGCUUGAUGACUUCCUGGAGAAAUCCAAGCACACAGAGAGUGAUAAGUUGUCGGUGCAGAUCCAAGCUUACCUGGACAAUGUGUUUGAUGUUGGAGGUCUGUUGGAAGAUGCUGAAACAAAAAAUGUGGCCCUGGAGAAAGUAGAGGAGCUGGAAGAACAUUUGUCACAUGUGACAGAGAAGCUUCUAGAUGUUGAAAAUGAGACGAUGAUGAAAGUGGCAGACCUGGAAAAACAGCUGUUACACAAAGACAAAGAACUGACAGUCAUAAAGGAAACGUAUGAGUCGGCCAGCUCACAGGUGCACACACUGCGGCGGAUGAUCCAAGAGAAGGAUGCCGCCUUCCAGAGGCACAACAACAUCGAGAAGCAAUUGCUGGAGCUGGAGCAGCAGGGCACCAUCCGUUUACGCAAGCAGCCUGAUGGGGAUAUUGCCAUUGAAGCUCUGGGUGGAGGAAGACUGCCUGGUGGAGCAGUGGCUGGAGCACCUCUGGGAGACCUGAGCUUGCUUGCUGCAAGCAUGAGUGGGAGUGGAGGCCUGGCUGUCACUUUACCUGCUCCUAUUGAAGCAGUUGCACCACCCCCACCACCACCUCCUCCACCACCCGCCCCACCACUCCCUUCAGAAGUUGAGUGUGUUCCUAUUCCUCCUCCACCUCCUCCACCUCUUCCUGGAGUAUCACCAUCAGUCAUCCUUAGUGUCGGCUUAUCAGCCAUACGCAUCAAGAAACCCAUAAAAACCAAGUUCCGCCUACCUGUCUUCAACUGGACUGCACUGAAACCCAACCAGAUUAAUGGCACCGUCUUCAACGAGAUCGAUGAUGAGCGUGUGCUUGAGGAGUUGGAUCUGGAGAAGUUUGAGGAACUGUUCAAGACGAAAGCCCAGGGUCCUGUGGUGGAUCUGUCAUGCUCAAAGAGCAAGGUUUCAACAAAGGUUGUCAACAAAGUUCAGCUGCUGGAUGCCAAUCGCUCAAAGAACUUGGCCAUCACUCUGCGCAAGGCCAACAAGACCACAGAGGAGAUCUGCAAAGCCAUUCAAACGUUUGAUCUAAAAGCCCUGCCAGUGGACUUUGUGGAAUGCCUGAUGCGGUUCCUGCCCACGGAGGCUGAGAGUAAACUACUGCGUCAGUACGAGCGUGAGAGGAGACCUCUGGACCAACUAGCAGAGGAAGACCGUUUCAUGCUCCUCUUUAGCAAGAUUGAGCGACUCACUCAGAGAAUGAGCAUCAUCACGUUUGUGGGCAACUUCAACGAUAAUGUCAACAUGCUGACCCCGCAACUCAACGCCAUUAUCGCCGCAUCAGCUUCAGUGAAGUCUUCUCCAAAGUUAAAGAAGAUACUUGAAAUCAUUCUGGCUCUAGGCAACUACAUGAAUAGUAGUAAAAGAGGCUCGGUGUAUGGUUUCAAACUCCAGAGUCUGGAUCUGCUGCUAGAUACUAAAUCUACUGACCGGAAAAUGACACUGCUGCACUACAUAGCUCUGGUCGUCAAAGAGAAAUAUCCUGAACUGGCUACCUUCUACAAUGAACUGCAUUUUGUGGAUAAGGCUGCAGCAGUCUCCCUGGAGAAUGUGCUGUUGGAUGUUAAGGAGCUGGGUAAAGGCAUGGAUCUGGUCAGGAGAGAGUGCAGUCAGCACGACCACGCUGUACUCAAGGGCUUCCUCCAGACCAGCGAUACACCGUUGGACAAACUACAAAAAGAUUCCAAGACUGCUGAGGAAGCCUUCAACAAUGUGGUGCUUUACUUCGGGGAGAGUCCUAAAACCACGCCACCCUCUGUUUUCUUCCCAGUGUUUGUACGGUUCAUCAGAGCCUACAAGGAGGCUGUGGACGAAAACGAACAGAGGAAGAAGCAAGAGGAAGCCAUGAGAGAAAAACUACUAGCACAGGAGGCCAAACAGCACGACCCCAAGGUCCAGGCUCAAAAGAAGCAAAAACAGCAGCAGGAACUGAUUGCAGAGCUCCGGCGCAGACAGGCCAAGGAUCACCGGCCUGUAUAUGAGGGCAAAGAUGGCACCAUUGAAGACAUUAUCACAGUGCUGAAGAGUGUGCCCUUCACAGCCCGCACGGCCAAACGGGGCUCUCGCUUCUUCUGCGAUACCAGCUUCUUCGACGAGUCCAUCUGCUAGCCCCCCAAACCCCCCAAAAAAACUGCCCUUAAUGCCGCAGGUUGUCCCGUUCUCUUACCAGUUGCAAAAUGCAUGCAUACAACCACUCGCAUGACCCAUUCUGUCACUCUGGUUACCCAGCAUCCUUUACUAACCUAAGCACAAUGGAAUAGUGGGAGAACUCAAGCUGUGGCUGUUCACAGUUAGGAAACACGGACCGGCCAAAUCUUUCUCAAGGGAAUUAUGACAAAUGGACAGAAAAUAAUAUAAUAUAAUAUAAUAUAAUAUAAUAUAAUCAUAUUUUGUACUGUAAAACUGUUGCUUGACUGAUGUUUACAUAUGCUUUUUUUUUUUUUAUUUAAUAUUAAUAUACUUUCUAUUUUGUCAUGUUGUCCAGAGAGAUUUGGCCUGUGUAACAGUCCUUAUUAUGUUUCACUUGGUUUGUCACCUGCUAACUCUCAUCUUCUCUCCCAUAACUCUUUGUUCUACCUUUCCAGCAGAACAGGGGAUAAAUCUGAGUAAAUUUGAGCACAAAAUAAUUGGAGGAUCUCCGAAGCCAGCCCUUCCUGCGAGCUGACGCGGUGAUCCGGAAUGGGUGGAAGCGACCCUAAAGACCCCUCACUCACUCACCCUCUGCUACUCUCCCCCCGCUUUCUUCUGAAAUGGCAUCUUCCUGCAAUUCACAGUGACCGAGGGAAGUGCAGGACCAAACCAGUGUCUUUGGUUUUAAAGGGGUGGGGAAGUUGUUAUUUAUUUAUGGAAAUCCUUUUUGGAUUCUGCACUGGAGGCUCUUUCAAUAAAGCCAUAAAAGCACAGACAUUAAGGGUGGCCCCACAAACGCUUGCACAUGCAAAUCCUGAGGAGCGCCUGUGAAAGCUUGUGUUGGCACAGGAAAAAAUGCUUGUUGUGGUUGACACACAGACAGCGGUAACACUAGCUUGCUGACCCUGAAGAGCCUUCCAUCGGGAUCUCACGCCCAUUAACGUGGAUUUCCUUUUAUUGUGCAAUGUAAGCAUGACUUUCUGUCUGAGGUCACUGACUUUCAGACCCGUUUGUACAGCUCGUUAUUAUCUAUGAACUCAAAUGAUUUGUUAAUCCUGUUCAACUACCUGGAGCAGACUCCAGUAUUUUAACCCAAUGCAGUACUAUGGUUACAAAGAAGUGCCUUUUUGUUGAGUCAGUAUUAUUUCUUAUAGCCAAUAUUGAUGUAUCUAAGUUCAUACUUGUUAUGUUGUAACAUUUCUGUUGCUUAAUGUAAAUAUAAUAUGCAUUUAUCCAGCUUUAACAAAAGAGCGGGAAGAAGUGCUCUAUUUAACUGAUCAUGUGCCUUGUUGAUGGUGCCUUCUUCAUCCAGCAUGUACCAGAACAAAGUGUACAUAAUGUUAUGCCAUGUUGUGAAACUUCUUAGAGAAAAACUCUCUGAUCCGUUCUUUACCCUACAGAUUUAUUAUGUAUAUAAAUGCAUUUCAUUGUUUUGAAAGAAUAUCCAAUGGGAAUCGCUCCAGGACUGUAAAGAUGAUAUAACAGAAUCUUCUGGGUGUGCAGUUUGUACUUGUUACCUCUAAACCAGUUGCCCGUGUUAGUACAAUGAAGGACAGUCGUUACGGUUUGGAGGACUUAAUUCAUUUGGUUUAACCAAAAAUUUAUGAUGAAUUUGCACUAUCAUUUAAUAAGCGGCGAUUAUCCAACUAGUGACUCGAUAUGAAAUUAGCUUUAUUUUAGCAAUAACUUACGCAAGGCCACGCUUUACUGUGAAUAGGUAUAUUCACAAUACAGUACGACCUCAAGUACUUAUUGUUUUUAUAAAACUAAAUGUUUUAGAUUUUAAGGAAAAAUUAUUACGUUAAGAAAAAUGCAUUACGUGGUGUCUUUCUGCUAGAUAAGACAAUAUUAGCCCUGACAACUGCUAUGCAACAGGAAGAAAACUUUGGCGCUGCAGGUGUUUAGCGUCAUAGUGUUUGGAUCGCUGAUUUGACUAAAAGGAAGCUAGGACAGGAAGUGUGCGCUUUAUAAGAAGGGACAUAUUACCAUAUGACUCAAGCUCAAAAAAGGAAUAAACUAAACACUAACAAUUUUUGUAGGUUCUUGGAGUUAUUCUUAGACUGAACUUUUUUUGUUAUAUAUAUUGUUGGACAUUACUAAAUCAAGCCAUUUGGGAGUAAACGCAAAGCACAAGAUGAAUGUACCAAAGUUUUAAUGUUAUUUGGUUGAAAUGGACCAAUGAAUGCAGCAGUUAACUGGAUAUUCUGUUGAUGUGGCAAAUAAAAAUAUUUGAGACUCGA